GUCGAGAGGGCGACUAAUACAAUACCUUCGGGGAAUACGUCCAGCUCUAACCAAGUGAGAGCUUCUGAACCUCUCGGCACCACUGU
rnacentral:ncRNA from 1 species